rnacentral:tRNA from 1 species
UAUGGCAGAAUAGUGCAGUGGAUUUAAGCCCCAUACAUAAAACAUAGUUUUUAUUAAAA